GCGCGCGUAGCUCAGGGGUAGAGUGCUUCGUUGACAUCGAAGAGGUCCAUGGUCCAAAUCCAUGCGCGCGCACUA
rnacentral:tRNA from 1 species